UUACAGAAUAGUACACCGACAAAUAAACCAUUAACUAUGAGUGGACCUUGAUAAAAUCUUGGAUUCUUCGGUGUUGGAGGGAACACUGAUCUUCGUAUUUGCCGCAUCCUUUCAGCUGCUUGCAAAAAUUUAUAAUUUUCAGCUCCUUCAGGAUGGCUGUUGUAUUAAACAUUUUUUUUGUAUAGAUCGUGCUGAGUAUGGCCGAGCAAUUUGUUGAACACAUUGAUGUCCAACUGAACUUCGGAGUUUCCUCAUUUCUAUAUUUGAUGGUCGCACUUCAUGGUUAUGUAACCUCCGUAGUUGAAAAUGUUUAUUAUUUGGAUCAGAAGAAAUUGAUCCAGUUGCUGGGCAUUUAUUUGUGAUUUCUUCACAUUUUAAGUAUCUACAUAAUUAAGUUCAAAUUGUAACUAUUAUAUUAUUAGUGUUUUGUAAUUUAUUAAUUUAACUCUAAAUUUCAAAUGAUAACACAAAAUAGUUUAAAAAAUAGAAUAAAAUAUAUUAUUACUUACA